AGCCAGGAGGGAACUACAUCCAGGAAGAUAAGUCUUGUCAAAUAGACAUGGGCAUUUAUGAAGGGCUUUAUGUACAUGUUAUCUCAGAAAGCUCUGAUUUUGUUGACAGUUUUCAGGUGUGCCAAGCAGAAACGUUCUGGGGAUGCCUUUCUGUUUCAUGAGGGGCACCUGAAAAAUCUGCAUAAAGCAGUAAGGAAGGGAAGACCCUAGAGGGGAAGAUGAAGUAAGAGCCGUUGCAACAGGAGGAGCACCCCGCCCUCUGAAGGAAAGGACGGGACUUGGUUAGCAGACCUGGGUUUGGAAGCCCUUACGGAACCGAGUGCAGUGUAGGCUGCCCACAGUUCACACUGGCAUGUUUUCCUCGAGCCUCCUUCUCUGCAAUUUUGGUUUUUAUGUGAUGCGUAUCAUUAUCCCUCAAGCUUACAUAAAACAGGACUGGAUGUUUAACAAGGAGAAAUUCUGAUUACUCUCUUGAAGUUACGCUGCAGAUGGUAUCCAUACGUAACAGGUACAUUCUCAGGAAUGCAGAUUCUCUAUUAUGCCUUCCUCUGGAUGCCUUGCUGUACUUGCUUUUAUAUUAUAUGGCAAAUAGAUAGUCAAAGAAAGAGAAAAUGGUGUGGAGGAAUGAAAAGAGCCCUCAUGCAAGAUUUUCAAAGUUGAAGAGGAAAGGCUGAUGACGUACAUACCAUGCCAACUUAAAGAAAUACGAUUUGUUAGACUCUUCCUUAAGUGAAAGCUUCUUAAACAACGGGAUUAUACUUGAUGCUCAGGACUGUUAUCCCCCUGACUCUGGGAUUGAACAUCCUCAAAAACACAAAGCCAAAACUUCAGGGCUGCCCUGUUUAGCUUCAGCUGUCAGCUGGGCAGAAUCAUCUUCAGGAGCCUCAGUUGAAGGAUUGCCAGAUCAGGUUAGCCAAUGCCUGUGUCUGCAAGAGAUAGUCUUGAUGGAUGAUUGGUGUGGGAGGGCCCAGCCCACUGCAGGUGGCAUCAACCCUAGGCGGGUGGGCAUAAGCUACAAGAGAAAUUUAGCUCCUAUGCAUAAGGCAGCCCAUAAGCCAACAAUGUUUCUCCUUGAUUUCUGUUUCAGUCCCUGAUUAAGUUUCCAACCUGAAGUACCCCAAUGAUAGGCUAUGACCUAAAUGUGUCAACUAAAUAAACCUUUUCAAACCCUCUGUUGCUUAUGGUCAUAGUAUUUGUUGCAGCAACAGAAAGCAAACUAAAAGGAAUGGGAUACCAUACAAGUCAGCACACUGGCAAACCACAUUACAGAAAUGCGCUUGAUGGCAGGCACAUUGAAAACAGGAAACAAGUUAGGAGCCUGCCACAGAGGACCUCUGAAAAUCUCUGCCCAGCAGACUAUCAAAGCAGAUGCUGAGACUUAUGGACAACUGUUGGGCAGAAUGAAGGGAAUCUUAUGAAAGAAGUGGGAAAUAGGAAGAUCUGGAGAGGACAGGAGCUCCACAAGGAGAGCAACAGAACCAAAAAAUCUGAGCACAGGGGUCUUUCUUGAGACUGAUACUCCAACCAAGACCAUGCAUGAAGAUAACCUAGAACCCCUGCACAGAUGUAGCCCAUGGCAGUUCAAUGUCCAAGUGGGUUCCAUAGUAAUGGGAACAGGGACUGCCUCUGACAUGAACUGAUUGGCUGCACUGAGGGGGGAGCAGGCUUAACAGGCCACAGAGGAAAACAAUGCAGCCACUCCUGAUGAGAUCUGAUAGACUAGGAUCAGAAGGAAGAAGAGGAAGGCCUCCCCUAUCUGUGGACUUGGGGAGGGGCGUGUAUGGAGAAGAGGGAGGGAAGGUGGGAAUGGGAGGGGAGGAGAAAGGGGCUUAUGGGGGAUACAAAGUGAAUAAAGUAUAAUUAAUAAAUAUUAAAAUAAAAAUAUUUUUAAAAAGAAAUAUAACAUUAAACUUAAAUUGCUACCUUGUGCUUUGGAACUGUAAGUGUCCCACAUAUCUUCUUGGCCAGGAACUACAAUGAAUGAAGGUAUAUUUCCUUUGAACAUAAGAAAGAUGCUGUGGUUGCUUCCAUCCAUUCUCAUCCCCUUGGAAAUGAAGCCUCUAGAACCUCAAGACACCGCACAUCUCAGAUCAUCCUUGAUGCUCAAAGUCCCUCCAUCCCUUAACAGUCAUAGGAUACUGACGUGGGAUUGGCUUUCCCUAGUGAUAAACUCAGUGCUGUGACCAUCUUAAGAACCAAGACCAGAAAUAAAUUUGAUCCAUGAAACAAAGUAAAAGCAAGACUAGAAAAGAAAUCUUCUUCUACUUCCCAAUCCAGCAUUCCUACCAUGAAUAAUAACCAAUGCUCAGUUGUGGGGAAACAGUGUAAUAAGCCAUGCUAACAUGACAUUCUCCAGUGGAAAGAGAGGGUUGGUUCUGGGACGGAGGCAUCCAUCUGAUAGACUCUCCUGGUUAUCCUCCACUUAGCCAUCGUUAUUUGAAAUGUGCUCUCCAAAAUCCAUGCAUUAUAAGCCUGGUAUCCACAUGGCACCUUUAAGAAUGGGUGCCUAAUGAGAAGUCUUCAAGGCCACUGUAGUUGUGCCCUUUUGUGCCCUUGAAGGAGAUAUUGGGACCUCAGCCUCCACCUCUUCUUUCUUCUUUCUGGCCAUUAUGUAAAUGGGCUUCUUCUGCCAUACAUUGUCACCACAGUCCUCACCCCAAAGUAACAGUUAUCAACAGGACAUGCACUGUGAGCUAAAAUAAAGCUUUUCUCUUC